rnacentral:siRNA from 1 species
GGACUGCUUCCUGAUGCAUC